GGUGAUGUAGCUCAGGUGGUAGAGCAUCGGACUGAAAAUCCGUGAGUCGGUGGUUCGAGUCCACUCAUCACCAC
rnacentral:tRNA from 1 species